AGAGACUUCAAAACAGCUGUUAAAAAUAUGAUUAUCUCCUCUGAUCUUGGAAGCUAAGCAGGGUCGGGCCUGGUUAGUACUUGGAUGGGAGACCACCUGGGAAUACUGGGUGCUGUAGGCUUUA
rnacentral:rRNA from 1 species